ACGCGCUGGCGGCUGUGGGCGCACACGGGGCCGUCCGUGGUGCCCGCCUUGCCCGUGCCUCUUUGCACACACGGGCACACGCGUGGCACUUACACGCCCGCACUCAGCGCUCCCACACAACUGCGGAGCUCGCCCGCACACAGCUCUCCACCCGCACGGUCAACAUGGGCGGCUCUCGCUCGGCCCUGCACGCAGCUUUCGAGGCCUCCUUCGUGGGAGAGAGGAGUUUACCCCCCUGCCAGGGCUGGGCCGUUUGCCCUUCCACGUAUUUCCCUCUCCCGGGCAUGAGACCUCAUUCCUCCCCUGGCCCUGUGCUGGCGCUGCCUGCAGGAGCGCUGAGCUCUCCCACCUUCCUGGGUGCGCUGGCAGAAAUUAGAUUGUUUCUAGAAAGCGACCUGCUUGGAAGUUGCUAUACAAAAUUAUGAUCCUCUGCUUUCUUCUGAAUUACACAGCAUCAGUACACAAAUCUCCAACAACAUUUGCAGAUAUGGGGGACUUAAACCACAUACCGUAUUGCUGAGGUACACUGAGAUAAUAUUUGUCCAAAAGACAGAAAAAUGGAAGUAGUUCAGUAUGAAAUCACUGAGGGAAUCUGAUGCAGGCAGAGCAAAGACUACAUUUCCUUGGGCUUCUCAGCUCAUUAUUCUCUAUUUAAUGCCAUAGGCCAGAUGCUUUGUUCCACCUUUUGCCUCAAUGUAUUAUGUAAUGGGCAAGAUAAAUAAAGAAAAAGCUCCUGCAGGUGAA